CUUAAUUCUCCUAAGUAAUAAACCUAUUGUAGAGUUGUUGAACCUGGCUUGUGUCUCCCCCACUCUGUCAUAGCCAAGUACAGGGCACCAAAAACAGAUUCAGUUGGGGGGCAGAACAGCCAGGCUAGGUUCUUUGGAAGACGCAUACCUUAAUAAACCAAACAAAUAACACCCUGGACUGGGAUGACUCUAGAUGUUGGCAUACCAGUAAUACAAUCCUCAGCAGAGUUACACCCUUCUAAAUUCAGUGAACUUCAAUUAACUUAGAGGGGUUCAACUCUGCUGAGGAUUGCACUGCAGAAUUACUAAUAAAUGCAAAGUAGAUUUCUAAACAUUACAGGUGGAAAAGACCUGCAGUGUCUUUGCAAGGCCCAAAGUUCAAUUUUUGCAUUUAGUCCUCCAAUCAGAAUAAGCUCCAUUUGAAACAAUAUUGAUAUUUAUGGAAUUGAGGCACACCUCAGUUAAACUGGAGUUUGUUCAAUGGGUACAGCAUCAUAUUUUUGCAUCAUACAAGCAAGGAUAACUGUGAACAGGACAUUUCUCAUAUCUAUGUUAGAGGAGUGCUGCACAUUAUAUUGGGUCUCGCCACUGGUGGGAUUCAAAUAAUUUAACAACCAGUUCCAGUGGUGGGAUUCAAAUAAUUUAACAACUGGUUGUUUACAAGCACCAUUUAAACAACCAGUUCUACCAAAGUGGUGUAAACCUGCUGAAUCCCACCACUGAGUGCAGCCCUUUGCACAGGGAUAAGGAGCCUGAAAAUUCAUGCUUCACAUUGGUGAUCAUGGGCUUUAAUGAAUGUCAUGUCUUGCUUUCUUUUGGGCAAUUCUCACUGACCUUUUGAAAAAGGCAUAGAAGGCUAGGGGGCAGUGCCUUUUAGAAAUCAAUGUUUCUGUUUUGCAGUGGGAUAACUCUUUAAGGAUGAUUUGUGGCAUCUAUGGCAUGCCAUUAAAGUAUGGUUUAACUGAUUGUGAAAUAAAACCAUCUUACUGCUACUUGAAAGCACUGCUCAGACACUUCAAUCCUUCAUUGUUAUCUCAAGUAGAAAGCUAAGAUAUUUCUGUUUAACCAUCAUCACUUAUCAUGUAACUGAGCAUUCUAAUCUCCUGAGUAGUUCUUUUUGUAUGCCUGCUACAAAUAUGCAGAUAAUUGAUAGAUGGGAGUUUAUAUGCUGAACUACUCUAGGAGAUAAACUGUCCAGACAAUUAGAAACAGCAUGAUGAUGAUAUAUGUCCCAGUGGACUACUAGUUCAAUAUCCUGAGACCAAAUCUCAGGGCCAUUUUCUAUGGAACACUCUGCAUCCAUGGAAUAGGGGGUGGGAGAAUGCAGCUGUGUUCUUGGGACUCAUCUGUGAGUAAACUGCAUGCAUGACCUAUUUGUAAAAGAUGUGUUCAUGUUCAUGUUCAUCUUGUAGACAUCGGAUAUUGUACUGGAGCUCAGAACAAUAUCAUGACAGAGAGUUCCUGUUACGAGCUCAGAUGCACAUAUGAAGCUCCAGAAUCCAUUCAUUUCAACUUGUACCUGUGACUCAGCUCCUUCCUUUAAUGGGGAAGGCUUUACAGGUGAAGACUGGGAAUCUGCACACACUUUGGGAUGCACCAGAGAUUAAUCACAGGCUUGACAUCAGUAUUCUAGAUAGCUGGAGCACACCAGUGAUGGCAUAUUUUGUUCCCAAUGCCUAAUUUAUCUUAAUGGGGUGGUGUGUUGGGGGGAGGGGAGAAUUAGCAAUAUUCUUAAUGCACCUCAAAACCCAGAAUUAAUUUCUGCUUGUCUAGGUUUUGCUUGGUUAUACAGAUGAUCUCCAUACAGCAUACAUAUACCUCCCUGUAUAUAUUCCUUUAAAUAUCAAAUGCAGUUAAAUGCAAAUGAAACAAAGACCUUACGUUCAGCAUGUUCUGUAUGAGUCAGCUUUAUUCAUUUUUAAUCUUGUGUAGUGUUUUAAAAGUCACAUGUUCCUGUAAACCAAGCAUUAUGUCUGUGUUUUUCUUCAAACAAAACUUUAAAUAAAUCAUUAUUUGUAAAUUAUUCCUGAAAGUGGAUUCUCUGUCACUAUUUAUAUGCAUGUUUUUUAACAUGUUAAAUGUAUAUUUACUGUUCUGUGUGCUGGAUGCUGCUGUUUUCAUCUAAAUUAAAUUGAGUAUUACGGGCCUUAAUGAUGACCAGUUUGUCCCAGACUAAUUUGUGUUUGGUUUUAGUACUUGAAGCAGUAGACUUAAGGUGAAGCUUACUGGAAGUUUGUUUUGGACAAAGCAGAAAGAAUCUUCACUUUCACAUGUAUGUUCCUCAAACAAUGCUGGUGCUUUCUUUUACUAUUGCCAAAUUAUUUCUGUAUUUUUUAAUAAAAAUGACCUUCACUUGGUUUUAUGUAUGUUUUAAUAAACUGUAUUUUUAAGUAAA